AAAAACGGACAGAACAGAAAACCCCAGAUGGACGUGCAAGGCCAGAAACCCCAGCCACCUCUCCCAGUCACAUGAGAACCCUGUGCCCCAACUCUCCAGACACAUAGAAGAUCUAAGCUGCUUGUCCUCCACCUGUACUCCAGGAGCCAUUGGCCCGCCAUUCAGAGCAGGCCUCAGGAGAAGGGCUGAGUGUCCCCAAGGGGAAAGUACGACUGAGGGACGGACCUCCUCCUGCCAAGCAAGGUGGAAGGAAGAGCCAAGGUCUGCAAAGCUGGCUGAUCCAACCCAGAGAAGGGAUGAGAGUCCUUCAUGUCCCCGAAGGGAGGCAGGCUUCCGAGUUCCCAGCUGACCACACAGGAGUAUGGGUACAAACAGGGCCAGCCGGCAGCCACAAAGCCAAAGCCACAUUGUAUGCUGUGGGGCCUAGCCCUCACACUCUCCCUCUCUGUCAGUCCUGGCAGCUGCUUACUGUAUCACCAGGGAAGCUGACUCCAGAGUCAAGCCCACGUCCUGGGAGCUGCAGGAUGCAGCCAGGGUGAGCUUGGCCCCGCCAAAGCAAAACAAGCAUUGGCCAGCUCUGAGCACAGAGCAGCAGGAGGCCGGGAGGCCCAGACACUUCCCCUCACACGGCCUGCUGCCUUGGCAAGUGGCCACUCUGCCUGCUGCUGGACAG
rnacentral:lncRNA from 1 species